UCCCUGGUAGACUGGUGGUUAAGAUGCUGCACUCCCAAUGCAGGGGGCCUGGGUUCAAUCCCUGGUCAGGGAA
rfam:Ovis aries breed Texel chromosome 11, whole genome shotgun sequence.